rnacentral:siRNA from 1 species
GACGUGAUGGUGGACGCAACAAC